rnacentral:lncRNA from 1 species
GACUAAUUUAAAAAAAAAAAAAGGUGAUUCAUUCAUUUCCUCCACCAGAGCCACAUCUCAGCCUCAGGGCUCAAGGAUGGCAGCAGCAUGAGGUUAAUUUUGGACUCACAGGCUGCUUGCUUGAAAACUGUUAGCUUCACUUCUCAUCUCCUUGUGGGUAGGGAGCUGCCACUGAUGGCAUUUACAGAAUAACAAAUGAGGAUUAAGCUUUCUAUUUGGGAGAUAUUUUGAGCAAAAUUAAACAUGGUGUAGGCAGAGUGGAUUAGAUUGAAAUGAUCCCCAUUCUGACAAAGCCCUUAAAACACACACACACACACACACACACACACACACACACACACACACACAUAAAGCCAGUAUUAACCCUCAAGAACAAGGUAAAUCACAAAACAUCUGCAGUGUCCUACCAGUUUUCCAGUAAUUGCAAUAGAGUAUAAUUAAGGUAACUAAGUCUAAGGACUCUGUGUUUAAAUGCUGGCUGUACCACCUGCUAGCUGUAUAACCUUGAAAACAUAUUUGAUCUCCCUAAGUUUCAGUUUCCUCCAAUGUUAUAUUGGGGUUAAUAACGACAGCUAACAUUCAUUGAGUAUAUAUCAUGCCCAGAGUGUCCAUUCACUUAUUUAUUUCUGAUUUAACAAAUUGGAAGAUGGGUCAGAAGAAAAUACUCAGACUUAAGCCCAAAGUUAUGGAAAUUACAGAAAAGAUAGUAAAAGAUAAAUUGACACAGCAAAUAGGUUUAACACAUGUGCAUCUGGAGUCCCAGAAGGAGAUGUGAAAGAAUAUGGAGAAGGUUAUUAUUUGCCAGCCACUGCUUUAAGUACUUUACAGAUAUAUCUUAUUUAAUCCUCAUAAAAUCUCUCUGAGGUAGGCACUAUUCUUGCCACACCCAUUUUACAGAUGAGGAAACCAAGGCACCAAGUUAGGUAACUUGCCCAGGGCCACACAGCUAGUAAGUGGUAGAGCUGAGAUAUAAACCCAAGCAGUCUGAGCUGUGUCCACAUUUUAAACCAGCCUUAUUCUGAGGACCAUACAUAUGUCAACUCAUUAAAUGCUCACCAAUAAGUCCUAUGAGUACUAUCAUUAUCCCCAUUCUAUAGGUGAAAGAGGUUAGGCAAUUUGGCCAAGAUUACAUAAUUAGGUAAUGAUAGAGCUAAGAUACAAUGCCAGACAAGUCUGUCUCUAAAACCCACAAUCAUAAUUUUUAUGCUAUAUCCUCUGUCAGUAAUAGUACCUUUAUCAUAGAGUUCUUUAGUCCAGUCCUGGCAUACACUCAGAUAUUAUUAUCAUUUACGAUUACUAUUACUGAUUGUCCUCUGAUAGUUGUAGCUCCCUAAGAGCUCAAGUUGCAAUCACAGUGAGGUGGGAGUAGCAGGAAUGUAUAGCAUGCUGCCUGAAUAUGACACCCUGCUCUCAGCAGGUUCCUAAGAUGAGGAAACUAUUAGAGUUCCUAAAAUGAAGGUCCUUGCUAGAGAUUCCAUGUAUUUCAGUUCAUUUACUCUCUUUGCCUAACUGCAGUAUAGAAGGUGACUGGAUACCAGAAAAAUUGUAGGGAAAGAGGAAGGGAGUUUUAAUUCUUUGUUUUAAUCCUUUGUUGGGAGUUUUAAAAUUUGAUAGAAUUCCAAUCUGUCUUGACUGAGAGCAAGCUAGCACAGAAUACCACAUCACACUCCCCAAAUGAUGCUAAGGCAUUUAUAAUAGUAGGUUUUUUUUUUUUUUUUUUUUUUUUGAGAUGGAGUCUCACCCUGCCACACAGGCUGGAGUGCAGUGGCACGAUCUCAGCUCACUGCAACCUCCACCUCCUGGGUUCAAGCAAUUCUCAUGCCUCAGCCUCCCAAGUAGCUGGGAUUACAGGCACAUGCCACCAUGCCCGGCUAAUUUUUAUAUUCUGAGUAGAGACGGGGUGCUGUGAUUACAGGCGCGAGCCACCAUGCCCGGCCAUAUAUAUAUAUAUAAUUUUUUUUUUAAUAAGCCUUAACUCUAUGCCAACUACUUUUCCAAGUGCAUAUGUUAAUUUAUGUGUUCCUUAGAAAAGCCCUAGGAGAUGCAUAAUAUUAUCUGCUCACUUUAUAGAUGAGGAAAUUAAGGCCUGGUGUUCAAGGCCACACAGUCAGUAAGUGAUAAAACUGGAAUUUGAACAGUUUUGCCCCAGAACCCAAGAUCUUAUGUUCCUCUCACUUCAAUACUAGUUUUUUUUGAGAUGGAGUCUCGCUCUGUUGCCCAGGCUGGAGUGCAGUGGCAUGAUCUCUGCUCACUGCAACCUCUGCCUCCCGGGUUCAAGUGAUUCUCCUGUCUCAGCCUCCUGAGUAGCUGGGAUUACAGACAUGCGCCACAACGCCUGACUAAUUUUUGUAUUUUUUAGUAGAGACAAGGUUUCACCAUGUUGGCCAGGCUGGUCUCGAACUCCUGACCUCAGGUGAUCCACCCGCCUCAGCCUCCGGAAGUGCUGAGAUUACAGGCAUGAGUCACCGCACCCAGCUUCCAACACUAGUUUUAAUACUCUUCCCACAUUACCGAUUACCCCUCUAUCUCAUGAAUGAAACUAAAUAUUAAAUAUAUAAUUGUAAAGUACAAGGUGAUUUUCAUGAAGUUGUUUUGCGGUCCUCUUAAAAAUGCUUCCCAUCUCUCACCAUUACAUUGUACUCUGCUUUUUUUUUUUUUUUUUUGAAAUAGGAUCUCAUUCUGUUGCCCAGGCUGGAGUGCAGUGGCGUGAUCUCAGCUCACUGCAACCUCUACCUUCUGGGCUCAAGUGUCACCUCUGCCUCCUGAGUAGGUGGGACUACAGGCAUGCACCAUCACACCUGGCUAUUUUUUUUGUUUUUUGUAGAGAUGGGGUUUUGUUAUGUUGCCCAGGAUUGUCUCAAACUCCUGGGUCCACACAAUCUACCUGCCUAGGCCUUCCAAAGAACUGGGAUUACAGGUGUGAGCCACUGCCCCCAGCCCAUUGUACUUUGAUUCUUUUGCCUGCAAUGUUUUCAGCCCUUCGCCCAAGGUGAGAUUUUUGAUAAUACAAAAGUUCUGAAUCCAUUUGACAGGGUUUACUUGUCAACAAAGUGGAUACAGGUAUCUUCUUCUUGUCCACAGCCAAAUCUUGUGGCGAUAGUCAGAUAGUAGAAGGUGGUGGUGGGGGAUGUCUACUCUGCCUUUUUUUUUUUUUUUUUUUUUUUUUAAGGAGAUAGGGUCUUGUUCUGUCACCCAGGCUGGAGUACAGUGGCACGAUCAUAGUUCACUGCAGCUUCGAACUUCUGGGCUCGAGUGAUCCUCUCACCUCAGCCUCCAAGUAGUUGGGAUGACAGGUGCAUACCAACAUGCCCAGCAAAUUUUUCUUGUGGUUUUUUAAGAGAUGGGGGUCACGCUGUGUUGCCCAGGUUGUUCCUGAACUCCUGACCUGAAGGGAUUCUCCUGUCUUAGCCUCCCAAGUCACCGCAAUUACAGGUGUGAGCCACUGUGCCUGGCUCCCCUCUGCCUUUCGUUACCUUUCCUAGGGCAGGAAUUGUUGGCAUAUACUGGCACCAGUGCCCAACAUUGUUUCACUUUAUUUUGGAUCCUAAAAAAUUAAUUUCUCCUCAAUUUAUUUAUGAAGAAAUAUAUCUUAUCAAAAGACCAAGGAAGCAGGAUUUGUAAGCAAAGAAGAUUUCAGGAAUUUGUAGGUUUUACAUGUUCUUCUACCUCAGAUAUAUAGCUGACUCUUUUUUUGGGAAGGGGCACAGAAAAAUUUAUGUACCCUGUUAAAUAGCAGUAGACAAUAGUUACGGUCUGCUAGCCCCAUCUACUUCUCAUGAGAAGAAAAAAGGUCUACAAAGGCAUUGUCACAGAGGUUUUUGGCCUCUUGUAAGAGACUUUCCUGAGGUUUUUAUAUAGCCAAGUGUUUUGCUUAUUUACUACUUUGUGGCACUGGAUCAAAUAAUGUAUGCUGAUAUAUAAUACAUUGAUUAAUGCAUUUUCCAAACUCAUGACCAGCUUGAAAUAUAUUGUUUUUUGGUUUUUUUUUUGAGACAGAGUCUCGCUCUGUUGCCCAGGCUGGAGUACAGUGGCACGAUCUCGGCUCACUGCAAGCUCCACCUCCCGGGUUCACACCAUUCUCAUGCCUCAGCCUCCCGAGUAGCUGGGACUACAGGUGCCCGCCACCACGCCCAGCUAAUUUUUUUUUUGGUAUUUUUAGUAGAGACGGGGUUUCACCGUGUUAGUCAGGACGGUCUCGAUCUUCUGACCUCGUGAUCCGCCUGCCUCGGCCUCCCAAAGUGCUGGGAUUACAGGCAAGAGCCACCGCGCCUGGCCCAGCUUGAAAUAUUUUUAUAGAAUGUCUCAGAGUCUAUAAAAUAAUUUUUAAUAUUUUGUAAUAUUUUUAGAGAUAUCAGUGAAGGAUUUAAAAAAUAAGAGACAGACAGUAUAAUGUAAAAAUUUUCUCAUGGGAUAUUUUUUGUUACCAAUGUGAAUUUAUUGAUACUACCUUGAUGCUAAUAGUGAAUUCUUUGAAGGCAAGACAUUCAUUUGUUUUUUAGUUCACAGUGAACCUAACAUAGUAACUUGAAUGUAAUAGAUGCUUCAUUAUUGUUUGUUGAAUGUAUGAAUGAUUAAAUAAAUAAAUUUAGUACCAUCA